AUUUAUAUAGUUUAAUUAUAAAACUAUACAUUUUCAUUGUAUAAAUAAUAUAUAAUAUUUAUAAAUA
rnacentral:tRNA from 1 species